rnacentral:rRNA from 1 species
UACAGAGGGGGCAAGCGUUGUUCGGAAUUACUGGGCGUAAAGGGCGCGUAGGCGGCCUUCUAAGUCGAACGUGAAAGCCCCGGGCUUAACCUGGGAACUGCGUUUGAAACUGGGAGACUUGAGUGUAGCAGAGGGGGGUGGAAUUCCACGUGUAGCGGUGAAAUGCGUAGAUAUGUGGAGGAACACCGAUGGCGAAGGCAACCCCCUGGGUUAACACUGACGCUCAUGCACGAAAGCGUGGGGAGCAAACAGG